UACGGAGGGAGCUAGCGUUGUUCGGAAUUACUGGGCGUAAAGCGCACGUAGGCGGCUUUGUAAGUUAGUGGUGAAAGCCCGGGGCUCAACUCCGGAAUUGCCUUUAAGACUGCAUCGCUAGAAUUGUGGAGAGGUAAGUGGAAUUCCGAGUGUAGAGGUGAAAUUCGUAGAUAUUCGGAAGAACACCAGUGGCGAAGGCGACUUACUGGACACAUAUUGACGCUGAGGUGCGAAAGCGUGGGGAGCAAACAGG
rnacentral:rRNA from 1 species